UGACGCCAAAGACGGCGACGACGACGAAU
rnacentral:sRNA from 1 species